rnacentral:rRNA from 1 species
GACAGAGGCCUCAAGCGUUAGGCGGAAUCACUGGGCUUAAAGCGUGUGUAGGCGGAUGCCUAAGUACCUUGUGAAAUCCCACGGCUCAACCGUGGAACGGCUGGGUAUACUGGGUGUCUUGGGCCAUUCAGGGGCGACUGGAACAAGCGGUGGAGCGGUGAAAUGCGUAGAUAUCGCUUGGAACGCCGAAGGUGAAAACAGGUCGCUGGGGAUGUGCCGACGCUGAGACACGAAAGCCAGGGGAGCAAACGGG